ACUGUCCAAACCUUUUUAAUGGUGGGGGUUUGGAUGUGCCACACAGGAGGAAGAGGCCACAAGGGGCUCCCGGAACCAGAAUGCUUUCUCGGCUUCUUUUGUCUGAGACAGCGCUAGGCUACAGACUCCUCUUCCAGUUACAUGAUUCUCACGAUAGUAUGAACAAUGCUGCUACAAAGAUUCACAUACAAGUUUUGUGUGGAUAUGUUUUCAUUUCUCUCAGGUCCUUGGUCUUCCUUGAUGACAGAUUGGUGUAGCUUUGAAACAUCCUCGAGUCGUAUCUUAGCCCAGCCCUCUGAGUCACUUGACAGCUGCUACUAUUGCCAGUUUCUCAUCCCAAGAGAAGAAGUAGCUUUUGAAGGCUUGGAGCCCCAGUUCACAGUCUGGAAGUCUAAAAGGGUGAAAGAUGCUGCAACAAGAAAAGAAAUUCUCAAACUUUCAGAGAGGAAAUCAAUUCUAAAAAUAAAUACUCAAAUCUUCAUAGAGGUCAAUCUUCUGCUUUUAUCUCCAGAAAGAAAAGUAUCAGCAGAAUAUACUGGUGUCUCUCCAUCCUUUAUUUAUGCUCCCUUAAGGGAGGCAGGACUAAAUGAAUGAAGGGAACACAAUCACUGAGAAAUGUUAUCAAAAGGAAAGAUUUUCUACGUGAGGAUCAUACUUACCUUUGGGUUGUUUGCAUCAAACA